GUUGCACUUGAGUUAGUUUAGCUGAAUCGUAUCUGUAUGGGAACACGUAUCUGCACAGUGUCCUUCACUUAAAAAGAGAAAGAAAGGCAAGUAUCAGAAGACCUAUAUACCAAGUAUCCAAAGGCCAGUUGUCCUUAACGCUGGGGGCACAUUAGAAUCACCUGGAACACUUUUAAAACAAACCAGUGUCUGAGCCCCACUCUUCUGAAAUUCUGCUUUAUUAGUCUGGGGUGGGGCCUGGCUGGCAGUAAGUGUCAAAAGCUGAUUAAAAUGUACAGCAAUAGUUAAGACUCAGGAUUAAAUAGUAUACUAAUACAACAAACUUUGACCCAAUGAAGUAAAUUUCUUUGUAGAUAAAGAUUGGGUAAUAUAUUAUAGUUAUUAAAGUGAAUUACUGUUUGUUCCUAAGGACUCCUAUGCUACAAAUUAAUGAAAACUUCAGGAAAUGUUUAAGAUAGUAGACUUAGAGGAUAAUGUUCUUUAGUUUUCUUUUAUUUUUUCUAAGUGUGAUAAGUGUGUAGGAUAUACCUUUUAUCUGAGGAGGUUACAAUGUCUGAAUGUCAGUGAGCCUCAUUUUAGGACAUUUUUUCCAAUUGUUAAAUUUUUGGAAAUUUUGAAAACUAUUAAAUUGUUAGUGGCUUGAGAUUUUGGUCAUGCUGACAGUAUUCACACCAUGAAAGUCAGCAAACAUUACAGAUCAGGUCUUUGUUUCUUCUGGAAAGUGGGUUGUUAAACAUCUACCUGCUAUGAGAGUAAGAUCAAAAGGAUGAAAUUUGACUAGGCUUCCAAUAUUUGUCAACCCUGUAUUUUUACAGAUGUAAAACUGAGGCUCAGAAACUUUAAGCAACUUGUCAAGGAAAUUGCUGGUGGAACCAAGAAUACAAGCCAGCUUGCUAGAGUGUCACAUCUGUCCUGACUCCGGUCUACAUUGCAAAUGCUUGUCAAAUGCAACCAAAUGACUUCUUCCUUUUUAUAAAAGUGAGAGGGAGAGAACUUGUUGAGUCAGGUGCAGUAAGAGGUCUUGGGUCUUGGACAAGUCACAACUGUGUUACCUUCAAUGAAAACAGCAGACAAAUCUUAUUUGUAAUAUUUUUUGUGAUUCUCAGAAUUUGCCAAGGAUCAAUGGAAGCAUUUGCCUCUUGUCACAUUCAGGCCACUGAACAGGUGGCCUGAACAGCUUGGGCUACUGAAGUGGCAUUGAACUCAGAGCCAAGAUAUCUGAACAUUGCCGAAGAAAAAUACUGCAAAGAAAAUGAGAUAAAAGUGUAGGUGAUCGAGAGCAGGACUGAGAAGUGUAGGAAAGAUAUUAAAAGAAAGAUUGUGGGCAGGGCACAGUGGCUCAUGCCUGUAAUCUCAGCACCUGGGGAGGCCGAAGCAGGCAGAUCACUUGAGGUCAGGAGUUCAAGACCACCCCGGCCAACAUGGUGAAACCCCAUCACUACUAAAAAUACAAAAAUUAGCUGGGCGUCGUGGUGGACACCUGUAAUCCCAGCUACUCAGGAGGCUGAGGCAGGAGAAUCACUUGAACCUGGGAGGUGGAGGCUGCAGUGAGCCGAGAUCAUGCCACUGCACUCCAGCCUGGGUGACAAAGCAAGACUCUGCCUCAAAAAAAAAAAAAAAGAAAUAUAGUGGUUGUUGGUGGUGUCUUUAAACUUGCUUUGUUUUCCCCUGAGAAUCUGAAUUCCUUAAAAUAGCUAAAAGAAUGUCUCCAGUCUAACAAGGGAAUUAUUGAAAACAUUAUUCACAUACCAUAUUUCUAAGAAAUUAAUUUUCAUGCAAAUCUAUUUGAUCUGCUGAAGUUUUCAGUUCCUUGACAUAGACCUAAUUUUUUUCUGACACAGCAAAAUAGCAUCUUCAUUUGGUCUCUGUACAUGAUAGACUUCCUAACUUAGCUAAACAAAUGCGUGUUCUCUAGAACUAGCCUCCAAUGAACAUAAUCAAAAUUGCAUAAAGAAUAGAUUUUCAAUGUUUUCACCACAAAAAAGAUAAGUUGCUGAGGUGAUGGAUAUAAAUUACUUAGUUUGACUAAAUCUCUCUACAAUACAUAAAUAGAUCAAAACAUCACAUUGUAUUCUAUAAAUAUAUGCAAUUAUUAUUGGUCAAUUAAAAAUAAAUUUGUAAAAAAUCUUGAAUAGAAUGUAAGCAGAGAAAAGAAAGAAAUCCUUUCCUGAAUCAAAAAUGUCAGUUUCCAAAUGUGUGAAUCAUUAAUACUGAAUAAGAAGCACAGUACUAUCUCAUUUCAGCCAUUUCUUCUUUCUCUAUCUCACUUCUUUACUUAAAAAAUUAAAAUGGGCUUCCUAACCUUUCCCAUUAUACCCCUCAAUAUUAACAGUAAUUUUAGCUUAUUUGAUAUUUUUCUUAAAAAUACAACUAUUUGAACAGUAUUGCGUUAUUUAAGACAAGUAAAAUUCCAAAUAUUUUCAAGACAAAAUAACAAGCUGUAUUGCAGCAGGUUUUCAAGUAGAAUAAUAAAGUUUACGUGCAAGAAAAAUAAAACUUUUGGCUUGGUUUGUAAAUAUGUGUCAAACUAAUGUAUUCUUGCCCACAAUAUUUCCUAUAAUAUCCCAUUCUGUUGGGCUUAACUCAAAGUUAUUCAUCUGUUUUUAAAACUUAGAUUCUCCCACGCAUUGGAAAUUGUUAGAGAUGUAUUAUGGGGAGCUUUGGGCAGAGGUCCCAGGAAUACCCACACUCAUCCUAGCCCAGCUACUCUUCCGAUGAGAUCCUAUGGUAAGUAGGUAAGCAGGGAGGAAUGGAGCCAGCAAAAUAUCUUUCCUAGUGGACCCUGGGGCGUAAACCUCAAAGAAGAGUAUUAAUGAGAGAGGCAAUAGACAAUCAUCAGUUGCCUUUGUCUGACAGCUACCUAUGGCCUCAAAAUAAGGAAAUUGGAGAGGCCUAUUCUUGCCUUCCUACCAAGCCCACACUUGCAACUUGCCUGUAGACACAGUGGGAGGACGAAACCUCAGUGCAGAGCAUGCCAGCCUCCGCAAGGAGGAAGAGAGUAGUGGGAGCAAUGAGAGAGGCUGCCUCCAGUGUCCGGAGAUGCCCACCCAGAGCUAUUCAAAUCUACCCAGUCCAGGUUGGUCUAACCCAGAAGAUCUGAAAGCCCCAUAAAACACUGAAGAAGGGAGCUGAGGAAGAAGCAAGAUUUCUCCUUCCUCUAUCCUAGGAGCAAAAAUAUAGCCACAGGAAACGAAGAGUGGAAGAAACAGAUUGGCCUUCUCCCAACUCUGGUGGAAGAGACACAGAAAGAAGUGUGACUACAGUGGGCGUUAGUCCCAAUACUGUGUCUUCACCAUAGACACCACCUUAAAAAAAUGUGGCCCAAUUAAUAUCCUAGAC
rnacentral:lncRNA from 10 species